GUUUCUGCAAAUAAAGUUUGCUGGAAAAAAGCUCCAGUCAUUUGUGGAGAUGUUCCCUGCAGCUGCUUUAGCACUACGAUGCCAGAGCUCUGUGACCAAUGUGGGCCUUGAACUCACAACCUUGACAUCUACAUUGGGAGGACUUCACUCUCUCCACGAUUUUAUCAUCUUACUUCUACCCUACCACAACUCUGAUGGUUCUUGGAAGAAAAAAGAACUGGGUGCUACCAGACACGUAGCAGGAAGUCCUGAUAUACGUCAGAGGAAGUAAAUUUUCAGG